rnacentral:rRNA from 1 species
UUUAUGGAGAGUUUGAUCCUGGCUCAGUAUGAACGCUGGCGGCGUGCCUAAUACAUGCAAGUCGAGCGAACAGAUAAGGAGCUUGCUCCUUUGACGUUAGCGGCGGACGGGUGAGUAACACGUGUGUAACCUACCUAUAAGACUGGGAUAACUUCGGGAAACCGGAGCUAAUACCGGAUAACAUUUGGAACCGCAUGGUUCUAAAGUGAAAGAUGGUUUUGCUAUCACUUAUAGAUGGACCCGCGCCGUAUUAGCUAGUUGGUAAGGUAACGGCUUACCAAGGCAACGAUACGUAGCCGACCUGAGAGGGUGAUCGGCCACACUGGAACUGAGACACGGUCCAGACUCCUACGGG